GUGAACCGUGUAGUGUGGCGAGUUCCUGUGAAAAGUGUGGUCGCUUUUGGCGAGGUGGUCUGUUGUUUACCAACUUUCAGAACAUCGGAUUGUCUGACGUUUGUUGACAUCAGCCUGCAUGUAACACGAUACAUCCAAGGUCGCACAGGGAAAAUUCUGAGUUGAGGUUUCGAAAGGUGACUUUUGUGUCAGGUUUUGUUCAUCACGACUCUAACCCAGUCAUCUCUAAGCCACAAAGAUGUAUGAAGUUAUUGUUCUGAAAGAAGGCUAUACCAUUUCUCAGGGAGAAACCCAGCAGAGAGCCUGUGGAACUAUCACACUGCUGAAAGGACCUCACGUGAUUGUGGUGGAUACUGGAAGUGCUUGGGACAAAGACUUGAUUUUAGAUGGU